CCUCUCCUUUCUUCACUCGGGUGAUUCACAUUUUCUCCAGGCUGCUACAGGCAUUUCAGCUGUAACCCUUUCCAGACAUCAGAAGCAUGACGACAGAAGAGGCGGUUUCCUGUAAAAGCACCCUGUAGCACAUAUCCAGAUCUUUGUGCUUUCAUUUGAAGAUGUCUACAAAACCGUGAGAAAAAUGUCUUCGGUGACAAGAUUCAUCUACCUAGGGUGUUUGGAAAAACACAAUUUGUGAUUCCAAAGAAUCUUCGGCACACAGACUUCGAUAUCAGGUAGGCAAGCUUGGCACUCCAGCUUGGCGCUCCAGUUUUGAACUACAACUCCCAUCAACCCCAGCCACAAUCUAUUGGUGGGAGUAUGCAAAAUUCACAGCAACAAAUUAACACAUAGUUUAUCUAUAGUUUGUUGUUGCCUCCAGUUCAGAGACCAAACAACAUGCCAGAUGGCUUGGAUCUCGAUAUUGGUACUCAAAAUGAGCUGCAGGAUACAUAGAAAGCUAUUACAUAUUGCAGUGAAAACGAAUGUUCCAUUAGCAUGGCAAUAAAAUGCUACGCAAAGAAAUCAACACGGAGUUCUGAAUGUACUCAGUAGUUAUUCCUGGGAUGGCUGCAUUUGGAGAGGCACUUGCAGAAGUCUGAAAGUGGGUCAUUCUGCUUCCUGAAGUCAAACAAGGAACAAACACUUGCAAAGAAAAGAAAGGAAGCAGCAUUCAUGUUGGCGGCAGAUGAAGAAAAGGUUAUUUGAACGCUUGCACAUGGUCAGAAAUAGCUAACGGUCCUCACCAGGGUUUGAAGCAUCAUUUUCACAUUUUGCUCACACACCAAAGUGUUACUUCACCCAACAAUGUCUAGGAGAGCAAGGGACAAUUAGCUGUCCUCUGCUAACUGAAAAAAGAGACAGCUUUUUAAAGUGGUGAUUCUCUUUAUUUAGCAGGGGGAGAGCAACUGGCUCUAUCCGUCCCCAGCACAGCAUCCCUCCAGUGGCUGUUGCUGGUGUUUACCUUUCUUUAGAUUGUGAGCCCUUUGGGGACAGGGAGCCAUUUUAUUUAUUUAUGUGUAUGUAUGUAAACCGCUUUGGGCAUUUGGGUUGAAAAGCGGUAAAUAAGUAUCCACUGUAGCCCAUCAACAGCUUUCCAGUCGGCUUCUCAAGAACAGAGAUCAUUUCUCCUUGUAAAGGCUGUUCACACGGUCCUAAACAGGGUCAGAGGAGGGCGCAGCCAGAGUAGGAGAGCUGUGUGCACUGCUGAUCGGUGGUCAUGUGUUUGCAAAGAUCAAGGGAGGAGGAAAGGAGAAUGAUCGUGUGGAAGCCAAGCUCUGGGUAAGACAGUUUUCUGUCCCAUCCUCCCCUCAAUACAAUGCUGGAAAUAGAAUGUGUGUUGGCUGAACUGUCCGACCCAGUUCCUGGCUUCCACAUGACCACUCUUCCUCCUCCUACCCUGAUCUUUGCAAAGACACAACUGCCGAUCGGGAAUGUGCAUGCCUCGCCCACCCUGGCUGGUUGUCCCUCUGACCCUCAUUAGAGGAAUGUGAGCAGACCCAACAGCCUGGCAGAACCACCACUCAGUUGCUCUAUCAAAUAUCGACUCCCAUGGAAACAGUAACACCAUAUUGUACGAAAGGGUCUUGAAACUCAGGGCCAGCUCUACAAUCAGGCAAUUCAAGGCAAUACCUAUUCCUAACUUCAAGAGGUACCACGACACGUAGGUGCACACACAAAUGCCUUCCAGAAAUAAGUGCCGAGCAGUGGCAAAAGUAUUUCACCUCCAUGGACAGGCAGAUCUUUCUUUUAAUGGUCGGGUUUGUAUAAUGCAUUUGAUAUUUUUAAAAACGCUGCCAUCUUUAAUCGUUUGUGGGGUGGGGGGUGUUAAAAUAUCGUAGCGCCCGCUGCAUGGUAGGCAUGGGCACAUCUCAACUCAUGUAUUUUUAAUACACCCAUCAUCACAGAAAUCAAGGUGCCAGGAAUAAAAAGCAUUUUAAGAGCAAUGAAACAACUCUCCAUAAGAGAGAGUAAGCAACACACUCUUGAGAGCUGCAAGUGUAACUUUUAUCAAUUAUUUAGCUUCCAAGGGCUUUAUUUUAAAAAUAAACAUAGGCAGAUGAGAACUCCCAGUAAAAAAUAAAAAUAAAAAACCCUAUUUGUACAAGUAAGUUUUUCUUUAGCCCUUUCAGAUUUAAAGUAACAUCCAUAAAAACAUAAGAACAUAAGAACAGCCCCACUGGAUCAGGCCCAAGGCCUAUCUAGUUCAGCAUCCUGUUUCGCACAGUGGCCCACCAGAUGCCUCUAAGAAGCCCACAGGCAAGAGGUGAGGACAAAUUAUUAUUAUUCAUUGCCUUGGCUAUUGGUAAUGAUGAGAAGGCAGUUUAGACAUUUUUAAAAGUGGAAGCUAUGCUGUUUCAACCAAGCUUUUAGCACAUCAUUUUUUACAGAUGUGUGUGACUAAUCUAAGAAGGAAAGCAAUACAGGAAGGAUUUAAGCUGCUGGCACAUUACAACGUUCUUGUCCAAGAACAGCAAUGGAUGCUUCAUGACUACUGUUAGCACAUCAUUUACCACUUUCGGAACAAUUUUAGCUUGAACCCUUGACUUUAUUUAACCUUCAAGCUACAUUCUGAAUUGAAUAAAGUGGUCAUGCUAAACAAAUGGAAAGAGCGAUAUUUUCAGCCCCCCUCUCGGGAUAAAUGAUGCAUGCUUCUGCUUCCCUGGUCUUGCAGCGUAAGAAAAAUUAUACCUACAGCAUUACUCACAAUAAAAGGUUUGUGUCAUCAUCAGCCUCCAGAGCAAUUAAUCACCUUCCUAAGUUAUUUACUGCUUUACAGGGUUUGUUCUCAAUGACAAUUAUCUCCUUGAUAGGAAGUGGGGAAAUCCAUACUGCUUCUUGCACUAAAUACAGAAUGAACUGGCAUAGAAAAAGAGAGACCUGGCCCCAAAUCUAUUACAGGAAGACAUCGAUAUUUAAGGAGGGGGUUCUGUUCCUGGCUGCCACUGCAGAUAUGGAAACGGUGAAUAUCGAGUCAUUGGGGCUAUGGGAUCACGGGGUUUAGAAAUGACCACGGUCAUUUCUGGCCACCCCAGACCUGCAGAUAUGUGAGGUUGGCAUGGUUUCCCCUUUUUUCCAGGUAUUCUGAGGCUGGGUGUCUUUUACCCAACUGCGGAUACGCGAAUUCCCAGAUUUCAAGGUCUGCCUGUAUAUCUUCUGAAUAAUUUGUGCAAAAUAAAGUCAUACUUCCCAGUGACCUAUAUAUAUCAAUUUUUUCAUAAACAAUCCUGCCACUGAAAUUAGCUGAAUGCACUACUUUUAAAACUGGAAUUUGCAUCUAGAACCAUUUUUGUUUUUUUUUAAAAUGUAAUUUUUAAAGAAGAAAAUCUGAAUAUAAUUAUAUUUGGCCUCUUCUUGUUCUCCAAUUUUUAACACUUAAUAAUCAGAUAAAUAUUUCCAAAUCAUCAUGCCCAAGUAAAACAGAAGAUUUUUCUCAGAUUCAAGUUUACUAUAAUUCAAAUACACCAUCGAUGGCCAUUAUUCAAUAAAAUGAGUAAUGUUUGAAGUUGAAAUCCUACAAAUUCCAAAUUGGUUUGUUUUUUUAACCCCUCUUUUGCAAGCACAUCAAUAAAAUAUUCUGCAAUAUA